CACCGCUUUGUUUUAUCUCUCGUUAGCACCGCUCCACAUAGCACGCUUGGAUACUGUAGCAGUAAUGCUCUGUUGUUAUAGCAACACAAGCCAUCUUGGCUGCUUUUUGGAACCAAAAUGCGGCCAGCUUUUUUUUAAACUACAAAAGCGCCCUAGUCAACUUUUUCUUGUCAUAAAAGACAUCAAGUGUAAAUCCUUCCCUU